UUAGAAAUUGCUUCAUCAACAACUGUGUUGGUUUGGUUUGGAAUGGAGCCUCCAAUUUAUGCUACCUGAAGAUAAAAACAGAAGAAGAAACUGGAACCAGAAUGAAUUCAAACAGCAACAGCUAUUUCUGGAAGGCUGUAUGCCAGUAAAAGUCAUCAAACACGCCACCUUCGCAGAAUAAAACUAGCCUGCCAAGCGAUGCUGUGGCCUAUAAAUGCCAUUUCUUCAAAGUCAGGAGUAAUUCAUUACUCAUAUGUACAGGUGCUCACAGAGUAUUCCCAACCAUUAGUUUAUAAUAUUAUAACAUUGAUGAAUAACGUACUCAAAGAUGACUCUUAAUUAUAUUAAGCGCAGUAAUAUAAAUGAAGCAUGUGUAUUUGACAUUCACAUUAUGCAAAAGGCACAGGCUACCUAGAAUUCACACUUAAAAUCACUCAGGAGGACAAAUGUAUUACUGGGGGAACUGCACAACCUUUUACUUGCCUUACUGCUUCUAGUAUUUGUAAUAUGAGCUGGUAUCGUACUAACAAAACGAAAAUCAGAUGAAGAAGAAACUAGCCAAGUUAUUGUUUUUUUUCUGCUGAACAAAUAACUGUUACCAGACCUUUCUUCCUUUACCUGCAUGAGUUCAAGUUUUCUGUAGAGAAGAUAGGAACACAGUAUUACUGAUCCUAAUAUUACUUCUGUCACUGCCAUCAAAUUUUAGAGUUCAGUUCUUAUUGUCCAAUACAAUAAGAAUUAAAACGACAUUUGUUGUAAUGAACAAUAUUAGCUGAGUUUCUACUCUAUAUCAGCAUAUUCCCCAAUGAAAUAGUUAUCAACGAUUUCUCAUAUUCUUCAGUAUAUACAGUUAUAACACCAUCUUGGCAGAUUUUCAGACUGAUAAGUAUAAGCUAAAUUUAUUAUUUUCUGCUACUUGCCCCUAUUUUGGAACAAAUAAUCAUUCUUAGAUAUUUUUCAUUUCAUUUGAAGUUGAAAGAAAAAAUUAGACAAUAUCUUGAUAAUCGACAGGUUUAUGUAAGACACUGACUGUCUUUGCGUUAAGAGAGUUGGAAUGUCAAACCAUAAAUAAGACAAAAACGCUUACUGGAACGGAGAAGAUCUAAGGAGCUUCACUCAGUCUCGAUCCAGAGGCAAUUUUAUCGUUGAGUUUAAAUACUAAAUUUUGAGCUUUGGCUCUUGAGCUGAACACUCACAAUGUGGGUAUGCAUCUUCUUCCCCAAAGGGCAGGGUUCAAUACGACUUCUGAAGCUGCUGCUUCAAUUCUUAUGUCAGAGAAUUCCGACUCUGUUUGUAAACUCAAGUUGUUUGUUUCGAUCAUUUUCUUAACAAGCACUUAGAAACAGCCCAUUUAUGCAAGUGAAUAUAGGAUUUUGAAUGAUAGAACAUUAGUUAACUAAUGGUCACAUAAAUACUUACUUACUAUAAACGUAUAGAUUGUACUUAUGUGAAGAGAAUGAGCCUCCUCGAUAAGUGGACGAGAUAAUAUAAAGAAAGGUAAUAAACACCGACAUCCUUGCAUAGAAAAGCUUUCUCGAAUCACCUCGAUUCAGAAGCAAAUCCAUGCACAGUAGAGCAGGCAUUGAUCCAUAAUGAUUAAAACUAUUAAAUUUAUCAAUUUGUCUAUUGUUAACCAUACUUCCACUAAACAUGAGCAUAAACAUUUAUUUCCAAUUAAAAAAAUACAAAGCAAAGCAAACGAUUGUAAGUAGUCUGCAAACACUUUAAAAUACAGUAAGGAAUGCAUUUAAUUUCCAUCGGUCAGAGAGUUCAAGAUUUUUAAUCAGACCAAUAGAAAACAUCGAAAACUCUAAAACAUCUACCCAAAAUAUUUUGAGUUUGUUCCAAAAUAGGUAUGAACACGUGGCCGCUCUCUCUCUCUCUCUCUCUCUCUCUCUCUCUCUCUCUCUCUCUCUCUCUCUCUCUCUCU